UACAGAGGUCUCAAGCGUUGUUCGGAUUCAUUGGGCGUAAAGGGUGCGUAGGCGGCGCGGUAAGUCGGGUGUGAAAUCUCGGAGCUUAACUCCGAAACUGCAUUCGAUACUGCCGUGCUUGAGGACUGGAGAGGAGACGUGGAAUUUACGGUGUAGCGGUGAAAUGCGUAGAUAUCGUAAGGAAGACCAGUGGCGAAGGCGGGUCUCUGGACAGUUCC
rnacentral:rRNA from 1 species